UGUAUUUUAUUUCGACUCGAACUAUUUUGUUGGAAGUUAUCGCGAGAUUUGUGUACAUGCGUGAGGCUGCGAGAUUUGAAUAAACAUAGAAGAAGCAGAAGCCUGGAACCUAGCUACACGCAGCAGCCUCGUGUCUCCGUUAGCAGUCAAGAGUGAACAACGACGAAUUAUUCAGUUAAAGACCUCCGAAGUGGCAGGCGGCCACGAGUUUUCACGGCGUUUAAUAAAGAGCCCGUCAAAAGGAAGCCGUGCCAGUGUUGUCGCUUUGGAGUUACAGUGAAAACUCGCCCAGCCAGCGCCGGUAAGAAGCUCGUUAAGACGACGGCAGCUGCAGUGAGUGACGGUACCGUGGUGCAACACAAGAGGGCGCCAUUGGACAAGCUCAACUUUCACAAGAAGUCAAGCACAGCAGCAACAACCAUGUACAACUGAAGUAAGGUGGAAAUUAAAAAAGGACAGUGUUAAAAGUAGAAAAGGAGUGGUUUAAGUGAAG